rnacentral:lncRNA from 1 species
AUGAAUAUAGCAGGUGGAGGACAUCACAUUCAUCAUCAACCCCACCUGUUCUGCUUCUCCCUUAAAUCAACACCCCUCCACCCACACACACUUCCCACACACCCCAUAUUACAAAUAGGAGUGAUACGGUUAGCAAGGUGUAGUUGUUCUGUGCUUGGAGAUGAUGGCCAGUUCCUGCUGACCAGGUUUUUUGAAAUCAGCCACUGGGCAUUAGCAAAAAGGGUAUUUUGGACUUCGUGGGGACUUUGUGGUCAACAGAGUCUUCUGCCUUCAUCAAUGCCCUUUCCUGCUCCUGAGCACUGCUGUCCUCUGGAGCAGAGAUGAUGGUCCAGAGGACCCGGACCAUAACAAGACAGGAACCUUCAAAGGAUCUGUCCUAAUGGCAAAGCACAAGAAGAAUUGAGGAAGCAUUAGUGUUUAGAAACAAAUGCUUUAAUCACAGCUUGUGUAACAUGGUUUUUGUUAAGUGGAAUGUUAAAGCAGCCAGACUGGCUGCAGGACAGGGGAGCUGCUAUGCAGGACCCAGAUUCCUCAAGCUGACUACUACUCUGGGGGUUGAUGUAAUGCUCCUUUGAAGAACUCUGAAGUUUUGCUGGCCUUGAGAAUAGUUCUUUAGUUUCUAUAUUUUUUGCUAGUUCUUCUAUCAGAUGUUGGAAAUAAUUUGUUAUUCAUGACAAGUUUGGUGUUCUUUGUUUUGAGGAUUUUCUGUUUUUUCAUUAGUUAAAACAGUUUAGAUCAUUAGAUCAAAGUCUGAAUGGAGGUAGAAACAUUAUUUGGAGGCCAGAUAUUUACUCGAUCAUUACUGCUUUUGUGUUAGUCUAACAGUUGUUAAUAUACUUAUCUUAAUGUUUGUUUGUUUGUUUUUAUCUGGCUAAAUAACUGGGUAUUUCAAAAGUUUUCAACAGAAGUACUUAUUCUUUCUUGGACUAUUUUCUAAUCGAAAAUGUUAUAGUCUUGGGAAGUAACUGUGCCUAUGUACAUAUGUAAUUAUGUUAAAAUACUGCAUUAGAGCAAGAUUUUUGCGUGCUAUGCCAACCCCGUCGCUUUACUUUUCUACUAAAUAAGGCUAAACGAGCUCUCCAUGAUAGCCUCAAAUUUAUCAUUAAUGCUGUCAUUUCUAAGGCCACUGCUCAUUUCUAUUGUAUGUGCUGUGCUGUUCUGUGUUGCAUGUCAGUGUUUGAUUUACUUUAAGCUAAUCACUAAAUUAGUAAUUGUAGUUAUGAGUAACCAAAUACGUGAACUAUUGUCAUUAACUGAGCUGCAGCCCUUUUCGUUAUAAAACUUUUCCUACCUCCCUUUACCAGAAUCAGCAUUCAGUUUGUAUAUGGGGCAAAGAAGAAAUCAAAGCUUCCCUUGCACUCUGGGUCCGUUUCCUCUAGUCUGUUUAUCAGGUUGGUAACAACUUAAAGAAUGUCAAAUGUAAUGUAAAACAAAUAGUCUUAGCCUCAGGAAUACAAGGACAGAAAUGGAUCAUUUUACAGAUUACUCCUCUCUAAUUUGCAAAAACCAUAAUGCUCACAGUCUAAUGAAAGUAAAGCUUUAAGUGGUUGUGAAAUGAUCCAUGAACUCCAGGUACUUUCCUUUAAGCCAGCUGACACCUGUAAAUUUUAGUCCUUGUGCAGUGUAAUCCAUCACUAUAUAUAAUCCUAAACCUGACAGUUUUUGCCUCCAUGGCAGAUGUGCUCCUUUCUCUACUGUGAGCAUUGCGUAUUGAUGCCAAGUGCAAGCCAGUGCAAACAAGUUGCAUACAAGUUUUGUAGUGUCUUGCUUCAAUCAUAUUUGUUCUUGGGUUGCUAUGUGGAGAACAGUACAGCUGUGAUGUUAUCACUGUAUUGAAGCAAUAGGGUUAUGCAUGAUGAGGGCUUGUGAAGCUAUUUGCUAUUGGUCUGGUUGUGCCUUAUUUUUGCCUCUUGGGCAUCUAAGAUAAAUGUCUGCUAUUGAAUUUGCAAUGUUUUUCUCUAGUAUGCAGAAUAUUACUUGUUUUCUGAUAGUACAUAGAUACUGAGUCACAGACCAAGGUGGGAUGUUAGACUUGCAGAUCUGCAAGAUAGAAAAGGGCUUACUGUCCUUGUUUUAUAGAAGUAAGAUCAAAGUAUGCUCACCUAAAUCCUCUUCUCAAAAAUAAACCAGGCCUGUAGGUCCCUAAUUUUCAACAGUAUUGGUGUUCCUGGUGAAAAUUCUGCCCUAUAGAUGACUUGGGCAUCCUUUCACACUUGCUGUUUACAAAUGCCUGAAUCCCCAAAGCACAACACUUCUGCAGAAACAAAUAUUGCCUGAGGCAGGGGAUCUGAGUCACCCUGUAGACCCUCAGGGUGGUACUGAGCAGAUUCCCCCACUUUCACUGCUAGUAGAGCCAAGUAGCACAUAGCCAUUUAGCUGUGCUGUGAGUACAUCUCUUCAGGAAUGCUUGAAAUACCUUUACCUUCAGUGGCAGUUUUCUGCAAUGGGAGCAGAAUAGCUUGGAAUGAAGCUGCUUAUGGGCCAUAGGUGUUACAUCAUGUUUUAAAUAAUAGAGCAGCAUCAAAAAUUGGGGUACUCCCAAAAGACUGCAGGGAUCUGAGUACUGGGUGUCUGGGUAACAUGCACUGUUUUUUCAUAGGUGGGUUUUAGAUAUAUAACUCUAGAAGAGGACUUACAGGGUAGGAUUCCAGACUGGGAGAGAUGCCUGCUUGAGUAAUCACCUUGAACCACUGAAUUUCCUUUUCAGCCCACUGUAGCCUUGUCUGUGUCUAUGAAAACUGAUUGUUCAACCACUGAAACAUUAUCCUGUAAGGAUUUUGAAUGUUACUGAAAUUAAACGCCUUCUGUGUGCUAUGUCAAACCUAUGCUGUAUGAUCAUUCAAGUUGCUUUUUAUGAAUGUGGUAUCCAGGCUGGCAAAAAAAAAUCAGGUGGCUUGAUGGUGUGUAGAUUUACUCACAAAAUGUGACGAAGUUCAUUAUUUGGUGAACAUGAGUUCACUCAGAAGGGAGAGAAUUUGAAGUGACAGGUGAAGAUGCUUUUAUAUAUUCUUACAGUUAGUGUUUAUAACUUGUUUUCUUUUGCUAUGACAGCCUUUCUUCCCCUAAAUAAGGGUUUGUUAGUUUGUUUAAAAAGCCAAUGGCUAUGCUAGCCACUUUUAUAUAACCAGCAAGAAAUUACAGCAGGGACCUCAAAGUAGUGAGUGACUUCUGGAGCUAAUAAGAAUAGAGUAGGGUGAAAUGAACUUCUGGAGGUCAUCUAGGCCAGCCUACUCCAUAAAGAAGAAGUAACAUUAAAGUUGGAUUUUAUGUUUAAAUUAUAUACAAUUGAUUUAUUAUUUUGAAUGUUUACUAAUACAUUUGUCAUACAUUUUAUGGCAUACAUGUGUGUUAAUUUUAUAUAGUAUAUAAAUUACACUAAGUUAUAUGUUUAUGACUCUACAAGUAUGCUGUGCUUCUGCCCAUUUUAAAUCCAUUUCCCAGUCCUCUUUUCCUGGGGCUUCCUCGUGAUCUUUCAGAGCACAAUCUCUGCACAGCAACCAG